AUUGAACGCUGGCGGCAGGCUUAACACAUGCAAGUCGAGCGAGCGGCGGACGGGUGAGUAAUGUCUGGGAAACUGCCUGAUGGAGGGGGAUAACUACUGGAAACGGUAGCUAAUACCGCAUACUAUCAGAUGUGCCCAGAUGGGAUUAGCUAGUAGGUGGGGUAAUGGCUCACCUAGGCGACGAUCCCUAGCUGGUCUGAGAGGAUGACCAGCCACACGGGAACUGAGACCCGGUCCAGACUCCUACGGGAGGCAGCAGUUGGUAAUAUUGCACAAUGGGCGCAAGCCUGAUGCAGCCAUGCCGCGUGUAUGAAUAAGGCCUUCGGGUUGUAAAGCACUGUCAGCGAGGAGGCGUUACUCGCAGAAGAAGCACCGGCUAACUCCGUGCCAGCCGCCGCGGUAAUUC
rnacentral:rRNA from 1 species